AUGUUAAUAAUAAUGUUUUAACUUUAUAUUUUCUCUGAGUUUGAACAUACAUCUAACUCUUGCCAAGCAUCCAAGAAAGGAGUCCUCAUUCUGAGUGAGGUAAUUUAACUUUAUAUUUUCUCUGAGUUUGCAUGGUAGGUUUUUUCCAUUGUUAAAUUCAUCAGAAAAGCUUAAAUUAUCAAUAAAAAAAGAAAAAGGAAAAAAAUAAUACUUUGUUGUGAAUUCUGUUCAACGCAUUGUCAUCAUAGUUCUUCGGGCUUGCAUCUUCUUGUUUAUUCCAUUUAAAUUUAGUUUGCAGGUGCAGCACAAUCGCUCGGUGCUGGUGCCAUUUUAGUAAAUCCAUGGAAUAUCACAGAAGUUGCUUCUUCCUUUGCUUAUGCUUUGAAUAUGCCAGCUGAUGAAAGAGAAAAGAGACACCAGCAUAAUUUCAUGCAUGUAACAACUCAUACAUCUCAAGAAUGGGCUGCAACCUUUGUUAGUGAACUUAAUGAUACUAUUGUGGAAGCUCAACUGAGGACUAGGAAAGUUCCAACUCUACUUCCUAUGAAAGAAGCCGUUGAUCACUAUUUGGAAUCCAAUAAUAGAUUGCUUAUACUGAUGGAAUAACAAAUAUACUGGUAGAAAUGAAUGUUAUAGCACCACAUGCUUUUGUUUCAUAAGUUUGGUUUACCCACAUUGUGAAAAUAUUGUGGGUAAUCAACCAACUUAUGAAGAGUUAGUUGAACGACUUAAUGAUACAACUUCCCGCCUUAAUGCUACUAACGAACAACUUAGUGUAGUUGUGGAUAUACUUCGUCAUAACAAUUUGAUGGCACCGCCUCCACCACCUCCAACAGACCAAGCUUCAGAUGCAAAUUUAAGAGUCGCCAUCUAUUUCAGUUUGGGAGUCACAAGAUGAUUCUUAGUUUAUUUACAUUAAUUUACUAAGGAAUGAACUUUAUGAAGUUUUUUUUUUAUUUUGGUAGGGGUAACCUUAAAAUGAUAACUUUAUGACUUAUUUUAGUAUUGAACAUUAUAAAGAAUUUUAGCAUUAAACAUUUUAUUA